AGAACGAACGCUGGCGGCAUGCCUAACACAUGCAAGUCGAACGAGACCUUCGGGUCUAGUGGCGCACGGGUGCGUAACGCGUGGGAAUCUGCCCUUAGGUACGGAAUAACAGUGAGAAAUUACUGCUAAUACCGUAUGAUGUCUUCGGACCAAAGAUUUAUCGCCUAGGGAUGAGCCCGCGUAGGAUUAGCUAGUUGGUGGGGUAAAGGCCUACCAAGGCGACGAUCCUUAGCUGGUCUGAGAGGAUGAUCAGCCACACUGGGACUGAGACACGGCCCAGACUCCUACGGGAGGCAGCAGUGGGGAAUAUUGGACAAUGGGCGAAAGCCUGAUCCAGCAAUGCCGCGUGAGUGAAGAAGGCCUUCGGGUUGUAAAGCUCUUUUGCCCGGGAAGAUAAUGACUGUACCGGGAGAAUAAGCCCGGCUAACUCCGCGCCAGCAGCCGC
rnacentral:rRNA from 1 species